rnacentral:rRNA from 1 species
ACUAAGCGUACACGGUGGAUGCCCUGGCAGUCAGAGGCGAUGAAGGACGUGCUAAUCUGCGAUAAGCGUCGGUAAGGUGAUAUGAACCGUUAUAACCGGCGAUUUCCGAAUGGGGAAACCCAGUGUGUUUCGACACACUAUCAUUAACUGAAUCCAUAGGUUAAUGAGGCGAACCGGGGGAACUGAAACAUCUAAGUACCCCGAGGAAAAGAAAUCAACCGAGAUUCCCCCAGUAGCGGCGAGCGAACGGGGAGCAGCCCAGAGCCUGAAUCAGUGUGUGUGUUAGUGGAAGCGUCUGGAAAGGCGCGCGAUACAGGGUGACAGCCCCGUACACAAAAAUGCACAUGCUGUGAGCUCGAUGAGUAGGGCGGGACACGUGGUAUCCUGUCUGAAUAUGGGGGGACCAUCCUCCAAGGCUAAAUACUCCUGACUGACCGAUAGUGAACCAGUACCGUGAGGGAAAGGCGAAAAGAACCCCGGCGAGGGGAGUGAAAAAGAACCUGAAACCGUGUACGUACAAGCAGUGGGAGCACGCUUAGGCGUGUGACUGCGUACCUUUUGUAUAAUGGGUCAGCGACUUAUAUUCUGUAGCAAGGUUAACCGAAUAGGGGAGCCGAAGGGAAACCGAGUCUUAACUGGGCGUUAAGUUGCAGGGUAUAGACCCGAAACCCGGUGAUCUAGCCAUGGGCAGGUUGAAGGUUGGGUAACACUAACUGGAGGACCGAACCGACUAAUGUUGAAAAAUUAGCGGAUGACUUGUGGCUGGGGGUGAAAGGCCAAUCAAACCGGGAGAUAGCUGGUUCUCCCCGAAAGCUAUUUAGGUAGCGCCUCGUGAAUUCAUCUCCGGGGGUAGAGCACUGUUUCGGCAAGGGGGUCAUCCCGACUUACCAACCCGAUGCAAACUGCGAAUACCGGAGAAUGUUAUCACGGGAGACACACGGCGGGUGCUAACGUCCGUCGUGAAGAGGGAAACAACCCAGACCGCCAGCUAAGGUCCCAAAGUCAUGGUUAAGUGGGAAACGAUGUGGGAAGGCCCAGACAGCCAGGAUGUUGGCUUAGAAGCAGCCAUCAUUUAAAGAAAGCGUAAUAGCUCACUGGUCGAGUCGGCCUGCGCGGAAGAUGUAACGGGGCUAAACCAUGCACCGAAGCUGCGGCAGCGACGCUGAUGCGUUGUUGGGUAGGGGAGCGUUCUGUAAGCCUGCGAAGGUGUGCUGUGAGGCAUGCUGGAGGUAUCAGAAGUGCGAAUGCUGACAUAAGUAACGAUAAAGCGGGUGAAAAGCCCGCUCGCCGGAAGACCAAGGGUUCCUGUCCAACGUUAAUCGGGGCAGGGUGAGUCGACCCCUAAGGCGAGGCCGAAAGGCGUAGUCGAUGGGAAACAGGUUAAUAUUCCUGUACUUGGUGUUACUGCGAAGGGGGGACGGAGAAGGCUAUGUUGGCCGGGCGACGGUUGUCCCGGUUUAAGCGUGUAGGCUGGUUUUCCAGGCAAAUCCGGAAAAUCAA